rnacentral:misc_RNA from 1 species
GUGAAUCAUCAAAUCUUUGAACGCAAAUUGCACUCUCUGGCAUUCCGGGGAGUAUGCCUGUUUGAGGGUCAGUUUAAAUAAAAAUCGAGGUGUUGCUGUUUUUUUACCCAGCGGAAUUGGGGUACCUGUGACGUUUUAAAAAUUUUAAUUGACGUAAAAUUGAUACCUUGUUCAUCUCAGACGUACGAAAGAAUAUUAUUUUAUCUGUCCGUAGUUUCCAACUUUUUAUUAAAUAUGACAAUGCUUUUUG